UACGUAGGGGGCAAGCGUUGUCCGGAAUCAUUGGGCGUAAAGAGCGUGUAGGCGGUUCGGUAAGUCGGCUGUGAAAGUCCAGGGCUCAACCCUGGGAUGCCGGUCGAUACUGCCGGACUAGAGUUCGGAAGAGGCGAGUGGAAUUCCCGGUGUAGCGGUGAAAUGCGCAGAUAUCGGGAGGAACACCUAUGGCGAAGGCAGCUCGCUGGGACGUUACUGACGCUGAGACGCGAAGGUCAGGGGAGCAAACGGG
rnacentral:rRNA from 1 species